rfam:Cellulomonas gilvus ATCC 13127 chromosome, complete genome.
GACCGCGGCCGUGACUGGCGAGGGUGGGAGCGACCACCGGGGAGCGGCCGCAGUCCCCUGCAGCGCACCGCCCGCCUGGGUGCCUGGG